rnacentral:rRNA from 1 species
ACCUGAGAACCCGAAAGGUCGAAGGAAGAAAUUCAUUCGUGUUUCGUUAUUGACAAAAUUGCCUAUAUUUGACAAUAGUUAAAAUUGAAACAUCUAUUUUUUUUUAAAUAGUUCUAUCGAUUUAAAUGUUGCUUUAUGGCUAUUUUUGAGUCUGAUAAUGAACACGUGCAUUUUUCUUCUGGUAGGACGUUGCGAUCCGUUAGUAUAUCGAUUUAUGAAGUUUUUGUGAUAUAGAUCAUUGAUACAUUUUUAAAAGAAAAUUCUUUUUUUUUUUUUUAAAAAGGUAAAAANNNNNNNNUAUAAAUGUUAAUAUUAAUGAAACAAUACAUUCUAAUCGAUUUGCCUGACGGUAAAAUAAUGGUUAAAAGUCGCUAAUUUUUAAUAUAAUUAGCGUUAGAGGCUGGACCAGUAUAGGAAUUGUGUAAUGGCAUGAUUAUUAUUUAAUUUAUUAAUAAUAAUUAUGUACUCGGUAAUCGGUAUUUAUAUCAAUUCCGGGCGCUUUAUCUACUGUUAGUUUAGUAAUAUCUCUGACAGACUUUAUUAUUAUUAAAUAAAACCGAUCAGCAACGCUAUAGCUUUGGGUACUUUCAGGACCCGUCUUGAAACACGGACCAAGGAGUCUAGCAUGUUCGCAAGCCAUUGGGAUAUUAAACCUAUAGGCAUAAUGAAAGUGAAAAACAUUUUAUCUUUUUAUGGAUAUAAUGGAGGGAAGAUGAAUAAGGAAAAUAAUGUCUAUAAUU